ACUCUCCUUGAUUCCACCUUGGAAACACUGGCUACUACUUCAUAAAGAACUGGAAGGGAAGAAAGUGAUAAUGUGGAAAAGUGCCAAAACUCAGUCUGAUUUUUCCUGGCAGCUUUCCCUUGGUGUCAUUGAACUUGUGUUGGAAUAAAAGACUCCAUUCCAGAUCCA